rnacentral:rRNA from 1 species
CAGUCGCCGCGGGAAUACGUAGGGUGCGAGCGUUAAUCGGAAUUACUGGGCGUAAAGCGUGCGCAGGCGGUUCUAUAAGACAGAUGUGAAAUCCCCGGGCUCAACCUGGGAACUGCAUUUGUGACUGUAGAGCUCGAGUACGGUAGAGGGGGAUGGAAUUCCGCGUGUAGCAGUGAAAUGCGUAGAUAUGCGGAGGAACACCGAUGGCGAAGGCAAUCACCUGGACCUGUACUGACGCUCAUGCACGAAAGCGUGGGGAGCAAACAGGAUUAGAUACCCCCGUAGUCCCUGUCUCUUAUAC